GUCGAGCGGAUGAGAAGAGCUUGCUCUUCGAUUCAGCGGCGGACGGGUGAGCCCUGUAUAGGAAUCUGCCUGGUAGUGGGGGACAACGUUUCGAAACGUUCGCUAAUACCGCAUACGUCCUACGGGAGAAAGCAGGGGACCUUCGGGCCUUGCGCUAUCAGAUGAGCCUAGGUCGGAUUAGCUAGUUGGUGGGGUAAAGGCUCACCAAGGCGACGAUCCGUAACUGGUCUGAGAGGAUGAUCAGUCACACUGGAACUGAGACACGGUCCAGACUCCUACGGGAGGCAGCAGUGGGGAAUAUUGGACAAUGGGCGAAAGCCUGAUCCAGCCAUGCCGCGUGUGUGAAGAAGGUCUUCGGAUUGUAAAGCACUUUAAGUUGGGAGGAAGGGCAUUAACCUAAUACGUUAGUGUUUUGACGUUACCGACAGAAUAAGCACCGGCUAACUCUGUGGCAGCAGCCGCGGGUAUACAGAAGGGUGCAAGCGUUAAUUCGAAUUACUGGGCGUAAAGCGCGCGUAGGGGGUUCGUUUAAGUUGGAUGUGAAAUCCCCGGGGUUCAACCGGGGAACUGCAUUCCAAAACGGGGAAGCUAAAGUUUGGGGAAAGGGUGGGGGGAAUUUCCUGGGGAGCCGGGGGAAAGGGGUAAAAUUUGGGAAAGGAACACCCGGGGGGAAAGGGCGACCCCCCUGGAACGGAUAUUGAA
rnacentral:rRNA from 1 species